AAACCCCCAAAGAAGGCGGAUGUGUGUUGUACAAGCUUCCCUGCCUGUAAAUCAGAAUGAAUGAAUGUCAGCAGUUGGGCUGCAUAGAAUGUAUGAAAUACACUCAGGUAAGUAGAACAAAAAUUUCUGUAGUAGCGAUAAAAAUACUGAUGCUUGCAGUUGACUUUUGCGCACCUUUCAAUGUGUUGAAAAAUAUUAUGUUUCUUGAUUUAGUACCACAACAAAAAUAUUACCUUCUCACCAAGAGCAUCUUGAAUCAUGACCGUAUCGCUAGACAUUCUAGAAACUGCUUCGCCUGUUGUCAUUUGUGUAUCGAAGAAUGCAAUGUCUUGCCUCAGAACUGAUUUCAGGUACAAGGAACGGAUGCGGGACGAGUGCCUUUCUCCUGCCAUCGUCCAGCAUGACACCUCUGAAAAUAAAUAAAGGCGAGAGCAAACUUGUGUGUCCUAUCUCGGUCAAGACGAAGACAACGAGGAGGAGGCAGAAACAACAGAACUCACCCGACAGCUAACUACAAACAAACAAAACUAAAACAACAAAGAAGAAUGGAAAAAGGCAGGCCAACCUACACUAGCCAACAGAAAACAAAGAGCAAGAUACGGCCGAGGGGCCACGUGUCCUAGUUCCACUCUAUUCAGUUGUGAAAAUUUUCGACUUGAAGUGGUACGUGAAACUUUGGAAUUUACCAAAGGAACAUGUGAAAUUAAUAUCGAGAUAACUGCUUAUGACUUAUGAGUGUGGUGGCGCUAUUUUGUUGCGCAUCUCUCUUGGUUUCACUGACCACUGCUUGUCAGUUUAAUACACCUUGGAGAUACGGUUGAGUUUGAUACAUUAUAUUGUUACAAGCUUAUCAGCUCUCCUCAUGGAGAAGCUCGUUUCGAUGAUGAUAAUAGGAAACAUGCACUCCAAGAAUAGGAUGGAAAUUCCACUUACGAAGGAAGGAAGCCACUGCUGCCCCAACGCCCAAAUAUAUGAAGUUGAGACAAACCUGGAGAUCGAAAGAACAUUAAUUCUUUGUUAAAUCGUCUUGCCACUCUUCAAGUUAAGUGAGUGGUCACCGUAGGCCGUGGCAGUACUACACCUUGGUGACGGCGCGGAGGACGGUGCUGCUCGUGCUCUGGCCGAAGGAGUUGAUGACGUCUCCAAAGAGCACCGAUAUGAGGGGCUCCGACACGCCGUUGGCCA